rnacentral:rRNA from 1 species
AUUGAACGCUGGCGGCAGGCUUAACACAUGCAAGUCGAGCGGAGAGAGGUAGCUUGCUACUGAUCUUAGCGGCGGACGGGUGAGUAAUGCUUAGGAAUCUGCCUAUUAGUGGGGGACAACAUUUCGAAAGGAAUGCUAAUACCGCAUACGUCCUACGGGAGAAAGCAGGGGAUCUUCGGACCUUGCGCUAAUAGAUGAGCCUAAGUCGGAUUAGCUAGUUGGUGGGGUAAAGGCCUACCAAGGCGACGAUCUGUAGCGGGUCUGAGAGGAUGAUCCGCCACACUGGGACUGAGACACGGCCCAGACUCCUACGGGAGGUAGCAGUGGGGAAUAUUGGACAAUGGGCGGAAGCCUGAUCCAGCCAUGCCGCGUGUGUGAAGAAGGCCUUAUGGUUGUAAAGCACUUUAAGCGAGGAGGAGGCUACUUUAGUUAAUACCUAGAGAUAGUGGACGUUACUCGCAGAAUAAGCACCGGCUAACUCUGUGCCAGCAGCCGCAGUAAAAC